GCUCCGUAACAUUUGGAUGCCCCAGCGAGAUUCCACCUGAGGGACUUCUCAGUGAGCCCCUCUAAGAAAUUUCAUGUCCUCUGGAACACCGGACCACGCCCGGAUCUGCCUGCUCGGCACCGACUCUCAACUAUGUGA